UACAGAGGUCCCAAGCGUUGUUCGGAUUCACUGGGCGGUAAAGGGCGCGUAGGCGGCACAGCAAGUCGGGAGUGAAAGCCCGGGGCUCAACCCCGGAAUGCUUUCGAAACUGCUGAGCUAGAGUACAGAAGGGGCAACCGGAAUUCCCAGUGUAGCGGUGGAAAUGACGUAGAUAUUGGGAAGAACACCUGAGGCGAAGGCGGGUUGCUGGGCUGAUACUGACGCUGAGGCGCGAAAGCCAGGGGAGCAAACGGG
rnacentral:rRNA from 1 species